GAUGAACGCUGGCGGCGUGCCUAAUACAUGCAAGUCGAGCGAACGGACGAGAAGCUUGCUUCUCUGAUGUUAGCGGCGGACGGGUGAGUAACACGUGGAUAACCUACCUAUAAGACUGGGAUAACUUCGGGAAACCGGAGCUAAUACCGGAUAAUAUUUUGAACCGCAUGGUUCAAAAGUGAAAGACGGUCUUGCUGUCACUUAUAGAUGGAUCCGCGCUGCAUUAGCUAGUUGGUAAGGUAACGGCUUACCAAGGCAACGAUGCAUAGCCGACCUGAGAGGGUGAUCGGCCACACUGGAACUGAGACACGGUCCAGACUCCUACGGGAGGCAGCAGUAGGGAAUCUUCCGCAAUGGGCGAAAGCCUGACGGAGCAACGCCGCGUGAGUGAUGAAGGUCUUCGGAUCGUAAAACUCUGUUAUUAGGGAAGAACAUAUGUGUAAGUAACUGUGCACAUCUUGACGGUACCUAAUCAGAAAGCCACGGCUAACUACGUGCCAGCAGCCGCGGUAAUACGUAGGUGGCAAGCGUUAUCCGGAAUUAUUGGGCGUAAAGCGCGCGUAGGCGGUUUUUUAAGUCUGAUGUGAAAGCCCACGGCUCAACCGUGGAGGGUCAUUGGAAACUGGAAAACUUGAGUGCAGAAGAGGAAAGUGGAAUUCCAUGUGUAGCGGUGAAAUGCGCAGAGAUAUGGAGGAACACCAGUGGCGAAGGCGACUUUCUGGUCUGUAACUGACGCUGAUGUGCGAAAGCGUGGGGAUCAAACAGGAUUAGAUACCCUGGUAGUCCACGCCGUAAACGAUGAGUGCUAAGUGUUAGGGGGUUUCCGCCCCUUAGUGCUGCAGCUAACGCAUUAAGCACUCCGCCUGGGGAGUACGACCGCAAGGUUGAAACUCAAAGGAAUUGACGGGGACCCGCACAAGCGGUGGAGCAUGUGGUUUAAUUCGAAGCAACGCGAAGAACCUUACCAAAUCUUGACAUCCUUUGACAACUCUAGAGAUAGAGCCUUCCCCUUCGGGGGACAAAGUGACAGGUGGUGCAUGGUUGUCGUCAGCUCGUGUCGUGAGAUGUUGGGUUAAGUCCCGCAACGAGCGCAACCCUUAAGCUUAGUUGCCAUCAUUAAGUUGGGCACUCUAAGUUGACUGCCGGUGACAAACCGGAGGAAGGUGGGGAUGACGUCAAAUCAUCAUGCCCCUUAUGAUUUGGGCUACACACGUGCUACAAUGGACAAUACAAAGGGCAGCGAAACCGCGAGGUCAAGCAAAUCCCAUGAAGUUGUUCUCAGUUCGGAUUGUAGUCUGCAACUCGACUACAUGAAGCUGGAAUCGCUAGUAAUCGUAGAUCAGCAUGCUACGGUGAAUACGUUCCCGGGUCU
rnacentral:rRNA from 1 species